UUAAGCGACUAAGCGUACACGGUGGAUGCCCUGGCAGUCAGAGGCGAUGAAGGACGUGCUAAUCUGCGAAAAGCGUCGGUAAGGUGAUAUGAACCGUUAUAACCGGCGAUGUCCGAAUGGGGAAACCCAGUGCAAUUCGUUGCACUAUCGUUAACUGAAUACAUAGGUUAACGAGGCGAACCGGGGGAACUGAAACAUCUAAGUACCCCGAGGAAAAGAAAUCAACCGAGAUUCCCCCAGUAGCGGCGAGCGAACGGGGAGCAGCCCAGAGUCUGAAUCAGCUUGUGUGUUAGUGGAACGGUCUGGAAAGUCCGACGGUACAGGGUGAUAGUCCCGUACACCAAAAUGCACAGGUUGUGAACUCGAAGAGUAGGGCGGGACACGUGGUAUCCUGUCUGAAUAUGGGGGGACCAUCCUCCAAGGCUAAAUACUCCUGACUGACCGAUAGUGAACCAGUACCGUGAGGGAAAGGCGAAAAGAACCCCGGCGAGGGGAGUGAAAAAGAACCUGAAACCGUGUACGUACAAGCAGUGGGAGCACCUUCGGGUGUGACUGCGUACCUUUUGUAUAAUGGGUCAGCGACUUAUAUUCUGUAGCAAGGUUAACCGUAUAGGGGAGCCGCAGGGAAACCGAGUCUUAACUGGGCGUUAAGUUGCAGGGUAUAGACCCGAAACCCGGUGAUCUAGCCAUGGGCAGGUUGAAGGUUGGGUAACACUAACUGGAGGACCGAACCGACUAAUGUUGAAAAAUUAGCGGAUGACUUGUGGCUGGGGGUGAAAGGCCAAUCAAACCGGGAGAUAGCUGGUUCUCCCCGAAAGCUAUUUAGGUAGCGCCUCGUGAAUUCAUCUUCGGGGGUAGAGCACUGUUUCGGCUAGGGGGUCAUCCCGACUUACCAACCCGAUGCAAACUACGAAUACCGAAGAAUGUUAUCACGGGAGACACACGGCGGGUGCUAACGUCCGUCGUGAAGAGGGAAACAACCCAGACCGCCAGCUAAGGUCCCAAAGUCAUGGUUAAGUGGGAAACGAUGUGGGAAGGCACAGACAGCCAGGAUGUUGGCUUAGAAGCAGCCAUCAUUUAAAGAAAGCGUAAUAGCUCACUGGUCGAGUCGGCCUGCGCGGAAGAUGUAACGGGGCUAAACCAUGCACCGAAGCUGCGGCAGCGACACUAUGUGUUGUUGGGUAGGGGAGCGUUCUGUAAGCCUGCGAAGGUGACCUGUGAGGGUUGCUGGAGGUAUCAGAAGUGCGAAUGCUGACAUAAGUAACGAUAAAGCGGGUGAAAAGCCCGCUCGCCGGAAGACCAAGGGUUCCUGUCCAACGUUAAUCGGGGCAGGGUGAGUCGACCCCUAAGGCGAGGCCGAAAGGCGUAGUCGAUGGGAAACAGGUUAAUAUUCCUGUACUUGGUGUUACUGCGAAGGGGGGACGGAGAAGGCUAUGUUAGCCGGGCGACGGUUGUCCCGGUUUAAGCAUGUAGGCUGAUUAUCCAGGCAAAUCCGGAUAAUCAAGGCUGAGGUGUGAUGACGAGGCACUACGGUGCUGAAGUAACAAAUGCCCUGCUUCCAGGAAAAGCCUCUAAGCAUCAGGUAACAUCAAAUCGUACCCCAAACCGACACAGGUGGUCAGGUAGAGAAUACCAAGGCGCUUGAGAGAACUCGGGUGAAGGAACUAGGCAAAAUGGUGCCGUAACUUCGGGAGAAGGCACGCUGGUGUGUAGGUGAAGUCCCUGCGGAUGGAGCUGAGACCAGUCGAAGAUACCAGCUGGCUGCAACUGUUUAUUAAAAACACAGCACUGUGCAAACACGAAAGUGGACGUAUACGGUGUGACGCCUGCCCGGUGCCGGAAGGUUAAUUGAUGGGGUUAUCCGUAAGGAGAAGCUCUUGAUCGAAGCCCCGGUAAACGGCGGCCGUAACUAUAACGGUCCUAAGGUAGCGAAAUUCCUUGUCGGGUAAGUUCCGACCUGCACGAAUGGCGUAAUGAUGGCCAGGCUGUCUCCACCCGAGACUCAGUGAAAUUGAACUCGCUGUGAAGAUGCAGUGUACCCGCGGCAAGACGGAAAGACCCCGUGAACCUUUACUAUAGCUUGACACUGAACAUUGAGCCUUGAUGUGUAGGAUAGGUGGGAGGCUUUGAAGCGUGGACGCCAGUCUGCGUGGAGCCAACCUUGAAAUACCACCCUUUAAUGUUUGAUGUUCUAACGUUGGCCCCUGACCGGGGUUGCGGACAGUGUCUGGUGGGUAGUUUGACUGGGGCGGUCUCCUCCCAAAGCGUAACGGAGGAGCACGAAGGUUAGCUAAUCCUGGUCGGACAUCAGGAGGUUAGUGCAAUGGCAUAAGCUAGCUUGACUGCGAGCGUGACGGCGCGAGCAGGUGCGAAAGCAGGUCAUAGUGAUCCGGUGGUUCUGAAUGGAAGGGCCAUCGCUCAACGGAUAAAAGGUACUCCGGGGAUAACAGGCUGAUACCGCCCAAGAGUUCAUAUCGACGGCGGUGUUUGGCACCUCGAUGUCGGCUCAUCACAUCCUGGGGCUGAAGUAGGUCCCAAGGGUAUGGCUGUUCGCCAUUUAAAGUGGUACGCGAGCUGGGUUUAGAACGUCGUGAGACAGUUCGGUCCCUAUCUGCCGUGGGCGCUGGAGAAUUGAGGGGGGCUGCUCCUAGUACGAGAGGACCGGAGUGGACGCAUCACUGGUGUUCGGGUUGUCAUGCCAAUGGCACUGCCCGGUAGCUAAAUGCGGAAGAGAUAAGUGCUGAAAGCAUCUAAGCACGAAACUUGCCCCGAGAUGAGUUCUCCCUGAGACUUUAAGUCUCCUGAAGGAACGUUGAAGACGACGACGUUGAUAGGCCGGGUGUGUAAGCGCAGCGAUGCGUUGAGCUAACCGGUACUAAUGAACCGUGAGGCUUAACCUU
rnacentral:rRNA from 1 species